UUUAGGACUAGCUAUUUAAUUUCUUGUAUAUCUUAUCAGUUCAAAAUAAUAUUUUUAUUAUUUUUAUGUUUAACUUAAACAAGAUUCUUAAUAAAUAAAUAAAUAAAAAAAUGAAAAAAAAUACCUAAACUAUCCAAACCACCCCACAAUCCCACAACUUCUCCACCUCUUCCCCUCAUUAUCUCCUAAUCUCCCUCAACUUUCCAUUACAUAACCCACACACAACACAUAUACGCACAAUUUAUAUAAACACACACACACAGAGACAGAAGAAGGGGAGGAGGAGGGGGGAGGGGGAAAGAGAACAAAAAGAGAGAAAACCAGAGGGUGGAAAUGAAAACGAAAAUCAACACAUAAUUCGUGAAAAAGAAAGGAUAAAGAGAGCAAGUUUGAGUUUGAGUUUUCGUAUGAGUUUCUGGUGACAACGUUUCUAUUUUUAUUCUCAAUUAUUGUAUCGCUCAGGUUUUUGCUCACCUCCUUCGCAUUUAUUAUGUUGUAAUUUUAUUGAAUCAUGAAUAAAGUUAUUUAGAGAAUUUCAUGUGUUGUUCUAUGUGUAAAGUAAAUUGUUUACAUGAGAACCAUUCUUUAAAGUUCUUAUUAUUUCAUUAAAUUUCUUUUACAAGGGUGAUACUUCUGAGUCUGAAUGUAUGAUAACAUCUUUUAUCUUUAUUGAACCAUUUAACACUAUUUCAUAUUAUAAUGUCACUAUCAAGAUCUUUUUCUCACCUUGUCCCGUUAUUCCGCUUUCUUUUCUCUAUGUGGUAUGGGAAGAGAAAAAAAACAGACAAAAAAGGGGGACACAAGAGAAAACAAAAAGAGAGAAAACUAGAGAGUGGAAAAGAAAAAGAAAAUCAACCCAUAAUUCGUGAAAAAGAAUGAAUAAAGAGCAUGAGUUUGAGUUUGAGUUUUCGUAUGAGUUUCUGGUGACAACGUUUCUACUUUUAUUCUCAAUUAUUGUAUCACUCAGGUUUUUACUCACCUCCUUUGUAUUUAUUAUGUUGUAAUUUUAUUGAAGCAUGAAUAAAGUUAUUU
rnacentral:lncRNA from 1 species